UGCCCAACAGCUAGCCCACCAAUACAAUACCAACCCCCCACUAUAUAUAACCCCAAAUACACAAACAUGUAUAUUAAACAAACCAUUUUUCCCCUUUAGUAUGGGAGACAGAAAAAGGACUAGGAGCAGUAGAGAGAGUACCGCAAGGGACCGCUGAAAGAGAAAUGAAAUAACCCAGUAAAGCAAAACAAAGCAGAGACCUAGCCUCGUACCUUUUGCAUCAUGAUUUAGCCAGCGCAACCCAAGCAAAGAGUACUUUAGUUUGACACCCCGAAACUAGGGGAGCUACUCCAAGACAGCCUAUCUGUAGGGCAAACCCGUCUCUGUGGCAAAAGAGUGGGACGAGCUUUGAGUAGAGGUGAUAGACCUACCGAACCUAGUUAUAGCUGGUUGCCCGAGAAUUGGAUAGAAGUUCAGCCCCCCAGCUUCUUUGUUCCCAUCAGUAUUACCCCACCUGACCCCACAAGAAGCUGUGAGAGUUAGUCAAAGGGGGUACAGCCCCUCUGAAACAAGACACAACUUUUACGGGAGGAUAAAGAUCAUA
rnacentral:rRNA from 1 species